rnacentral:rRNA from 1 species
UACGGGGGGGGCAAGCGUUGUUCGGAAUUACUGGGCGUAAAGGGUCUGUAGGUGGCUUGCUAAGUCAGACGUGAAAUCCCUCGGCUUAACCGGGGAACUGCGUCUGAUACUGGCGAGCUUGAGUGCAGGAGAGGAACGCGGAAUUCCAGGUGUAGCGGUGAAAUGCGUAGAUAUCUGGAGGAACACCGGUGGCGAAGGCGGCUUCCUGGACCGAUACUGACGCUGAGGCGCGAAAGCUAGGGGAGCAAACGGG